rnacentral:rRNA from 1 species
AGUGAACGCUGGCGGCAGGCCUAACACAUGCAAGUCGAACGGCAGCACAGGAGAGCUUGCUCUCUGGGUGGCGAGUGGCGGACGGAUGAGGAAUGCGUCGGAAUCUGCCUAUUUGUGGGGGAUAACGUAGGGAAACUUACGCUAAUACCGCAUACGACCUACGGGUGAAAGUGGGGGACCGCAAGGCCUCACGCAGAUAGAUGAGCCGACGCCGGAUUAGCUAGUUGGCGGGGUAAAGGCCCACCAAGGCGACGAUCCGCAGCUGGUCUGAGAGGAUGAUCAGCCACACUGGAACUGAGACCCGGUCCAGACUCCUACGGGAGGCAGCAGUGGGGAAUAUUGGACAAUGGGCGCAAGCCUGAUCCAGCCAUGCCGCGUGUGUGAAGAAGGCCUUCGGGUUGUAAAGCACUUUUGUCCGGAAAGAAAAGCAUUCGGCUAAUAACCGGGUGUUAUGACGGUACCGGAAGAAUAAGCACCGGCUAACUUCGUGCCAGCAGCCGCAGUAAAAC